rnacentral:misc_RNA from 1 species
AACCAUAGAAACCUGCGGAGUACCUGCGGAAGGAUCAUUACAGAGUUGCAAAACUCCCCAAACCAUUGUGAACCUUACCUUCAAACGUUGCUUCGGCGGGCGGGCCACAGCGCCCCCCGGGCCCCCCCAGCGGGGGCGCCCGCCGGAGGAUACCCAAACUCUUGAUACUUUAUGGCCUCUCUGAGUCUUCUGUACUGAAUAAGUCAAAACUUUCAACAAUGGAUCUCAGAUCGGAAGAGC